AGGCCUAUAGUUCAGUCGGUAGAACGUGCUGCUCAUAACGGCUCUGUCGUAGGUUCGAAUCCUACUAGGCCUA
rnacentral:tRNA from 1 species